AAAAAAAAAAAAAAAAAGCUGGUGAUGCCACAUCAGGAGCACCUAGAAGUUUAAGGUGCUGCAAGCAUUGAUUGAGGCAACAACUCAAAGCUGCCAAUUUGAAGACCCGACUUUGCCCAGUAGCUGAAGAAAAUGAAGAAUUCAAGGAUAAGUCUGAAGCAGAUUACAAGGACCUUGAAAAAAGGCUAUAGAAAAUGAAGGCCAGCUGAUAGGAGCCUUUUAAUUUAAAUAAGAAAAUAAAUUAAGACAACGAUAUUCAGACACAGAGAAACCACUUUUAAAGAGAGACUGAAUGAAAAUAUAUUAUUUCAAGACUUCAGAAGCCUAAAAGUGUUGCCCUGAACCCUCCUUUAUCAGGAACUUACAAAAGAAGAAAGAGUUGCUUGGAGAAUCCUGCUGUGUGAGAGAACACCACAAAUGACUACAAUACUAAGAAGACAAAUGCACAUAGAAGGGCACAUUAGUAAAUGUGACCUCUCGUUAUUGGGCAUUGUCCUAUUCAGUGCCAUAACUUUGGUAGUAAUUACUGCUAACUCUAUUAAUUUCUCCCUCCUGAGCUUUCUUAGAGCUC